rnacentral:rRNA from 1 species
GCAGAGAUAAACUCUCGUACCUUUUGCAUCAUGAUUUAGCUAGACCCAUCAAGCAAAGAGACCUUUAGUUUGACCCCCCGAACCUGGACGAGCUACUCCCGGCCCGCCGAACCCGGGCCAACCCACCUCUGUUGCAAUAGAGGCGGGAAGAGCCGCGAGUAGAAGUGACAAACCUAUCGAGCCCAGAGAUAGCUGGUUUUCUAGGAAAUGAAUAUAAGUUCAGCCUCUUAUUUUCUUAAUAAGAUAAAAGAGUUAGUCAAUGGGGGUACAGCCCCCUUGAAAUAGAAACAACUUUACCAGGCGGAUAAAGAUCUUAUACAACCAAGGGUCCGACUAGAGUGGGCAUAAAGAGCAGCCAUCUCCUUAGAAAGCGUCAUAGCUUAAGUCAUCUAUAACGAUACCACCCUCUUAAUCCCCCACCCCUACUAGAAUAUCCUGUAAAUUUAUAGAAGUAAUUAUGCUAAAAUGAGUAAUAAGAGGGCUGCCCCUCUCUCUUGCCCGCGUGUACCUCGGAGCAGACACACUGCCGAAAAUUAACGACCUCAGUAACAGAGAGCAGAGAGCACUAUGCUAGAAAAGCACUCAUCGUUAACCCUACACAGGCGGACUAAUUGAGAAAGACUAUAAGGGAGAGAAGGAACUCGGCAAACAAGCCCCGCCUGUUUACCAAAAACAUCGCCUCUUGUCCCCAUAAGAGGUCAAACCUGCCCAGUGACCCCCGUUCAACGGCCGCGGUAUCUUGACCGUGCAAAGGUAGCGUAAUCAUUUGUCUUUUAAAUGAAGACCUGUAUGAAUGGUUAAACGAGGGCUUAACUGUCUCCUCCCCCCAGUCAGUGAAAUUGACCUCCCCGUGCAGAGGCGGGGAUCCCCACAUAAGACGAGAAGACCCUGUGGAGCUUUUAAAUACAAGCCAAAGCCAAGUCCAUAAAUACUAAUAAAAACUAAAACAUAUUGGCCGAGGGUAAUAUUUUAGGUUGGGGCGACCCUGGGGAAUAUAAAACCCCCAUGUGGAAUGAGCCCAGCUUUAACAUUAAAGAAAUACACUUCUAAUAAGCAGAAUUUCUGACCUGCCGGAUCCGGUCCAAGACCGAUCAACGAACCAAGUUACCCCAGGGAUAACAGCGCAAUCCCCUUUUAGAGCCCCUAUCGACAAGGGGGUUUACGACCUCGAUGUUGGAUCAGGACAUCCUAGUGAUGAAG